rnacentral:rRNA from 1 species
UACGUAGGGGGCAAGCGUUGUCCGGAUUUAUUGGGCGUAAAGAGCGUGUAGGCGGUUUGGUAGGUCCGCUGUGAAAACUCGAGGCUCAACCUCGAGACGCCGGUGGAAACCAUCAGACUAGAGUCCGGAAGAGGAGAGUGGAAUUCCAGGUGUAGCGGUGAAAUGCGUAGAUAUCUGGAGGAACACCGGUGGCGAAGGCGGCAUCCUGGACCGGUAUUGACGCUGAGGCGCGAAAGCCAGGGGAGCAAACGGG